UUCGGCCAGGCCGGCCGGAGGUGACAGUGCCUGACUGGGCUCCUGAGAUGCUGGAUCCGCGUCCCGCGGCCGCAGGAGCAGCACCCCGGCCUCCUCGAAGGUUUCGCGGAUGGCACAGAUGCGCAGCGCUACGUCAUCCGGCAGCGCCGCGGGGUCCGCGUCGCCGUGGGACAGCCCGGGGAAGGGGGGUUGCCGAGGCGGCUCGGGGCCUAGGCCGAAGCGCGGCGGCGUGUGCCGAGGCGCGAACAGACGCACCCAGUCGGGCGAGCUGUCGGCCGCGUCCAGCACGCCGCCCGGGAAGACGUGCGCGCCGGGCAUGAAGCGCUGGUUUUGAGCUCGCUGGAGAAGCAGCAGCCGGAAGCCGGCCGGGCUCGAGUGGGUCCAGCCUGCGGCCAACAUCACGGUAGCUGCCCGCCGCCAGCUGCUCGGGCCGCUCAUGGCCGGCGUCCUUCAGAUCCCCUUUAGGAAGUGGCCGGGUCGUAGAGUGGUGUCCGAAAGCCGAAUAAAUGUUGAGGGCCUGAGAAAGCCGGCCUGGAGGCUUCCGGAGGUUUGCUUGUGGGAGGAGCGUGGUUCCCGCGCCAAAGCACCUCCUCUGAGUGCCCUGAGCUUCAGUCAGGGUCAUUCUCGCCCUGUCACAGCCCUGGGAGCACGGGUGCCAGUGUGGAAUGGAAAAUAAUUUCUAGUUGUGAACCUUUCCCACUAAACGCAAACGACUGGGACUUUGUCCCCUACGCUGGCCUGUUGCCUGUAUAGGAGGUUCCAAGUUGUCGGGAGCUCUCUUGAGCCAUGCUAAUAAACGAAUGGGUGGAUCAGAUGCCAAGUUAGACUAACUGCUCUGUAGUUUGAAUGUCUUUGGCUAGUCCCUGUCCCUUGGGGUAGUUUGUCUUAAAUUGUAGAUGUUAUUGCCGGAGCCCCUGAGGAUCAGGGAAAAUCAUCUUAGUGUGAUUAGUUCUCUUUCUACGUGAGAGAUGUUUAAUCCUAGACUAGCAAUGCUUCCCCUCCUCUCCAACCUUUUUCCUUUUUUUUCCAGGCUGGCCUCGAAUUCAGAAAUCUGCCUCCCAAGUGCUGGGAUCAAAGACGUGCACCACCACUGCCCGGCUUCCUCUCCAAUUUUUAAGUGGCUGGAGGACUUGCACUUCUAUUUUGUUUUUUGGAAACAGCUUGUUUCUGUCUCCCUUUUUGCAGCUCUCUCAGUCACCAGCCCUUGCAAAUCCCAUCCUAACUGAUCACAUAUUUUUAGGGUUUUGGAUGAGUUAGGCUGUAUUCUUGGGGCUAUAGAGAUGGUUUUUGUUUGUUUUGAGAAAGUAUUAUUAUGUAGUCUUGCUUUUUGGGAACUUGCUAUGUAGACGACCAGGCUAGCCUUGAACUCACAGAGAUCUAUCUGCUUGUCUCUGCCUCCCCACGUCUAGGACUAAUAAAGGUGUGUGCCAGCCUC
rnacentral:lncRNA from 1 species